rnacentral:rRNA from 1 species
GACAGAGGUGCCGAGCGUUAGGCGGAAUCACUGGGCUUAAAGCGUGUGUAGGCGGCUUUGCAAGUCGGAUGUGAAAUCCCACGGCUCAACCGUGGAAGUGCAUCCGAAACGGCAUGGCUGGAGUCCCGGAGAGGAAGGUGGAAUGCUUGGUGUAGAGGUGAAAUUCGUAGAUAUCAAGCAGAACACCUGCGGCGAAGGCGGCCUUCUGGACGGUGACUGACGCUGAGACGCGAAAGCGUGGGGAGCAAACAGG